rnacentral:rRNA from 1 species
UACAGAGGGGGCAAGCGUUAUUCGGAAUUAUUGGGCGUAAAGGGCGCGUAGGCGGCUUUUCAAGUGACGGGUGAAAUCCCUCGGCUUAACCGAGGAACUGCCUGUCAGACUGGAAGGCUUGAGACCGGGAGAGGUGAGUGGAAUUCCCAGUGUAGCGGUGAAAUGCGUAGAUAUUGGGAGGAACACCAGUGGCGAAGGCGGCUCACUGGACCGGAACUGACGCUGAGGCGCGAAAGCUAGGGUAGCAAACGGG